rnacentral:rRNA from 1 species
CUACGGGACGCACCAGUGGGGAAUAUUGCACAAUGGGCGCAAGCCUGAUGCAGCCAUGCCGCGUGUAUGAAGAAGGCCUUCGGGUUGUAAAGUACUUUCAGCGGGGAGGAAGGGAGUAAAGUUAAUACCUUUGCUCAUUGACGUUACCCGCAGAAGAAGCACCGGCUAACUCCGUGCCAGCAGCCGCGGUAAUACGGAGGGUGCAAGCGUUAAUCGGAAUUACUGGGCGUAAAGCGCACGCAGGCGGUUUGUUAAGUCAGAUGUGAAAUCCCCGGGCUCAACCUGGGAACUACAUCUGAUACUGGCAAGCUAGAGUCUCGUAGAGGGGGGUAGAAUUCCAGGUGUAGCGGUGAAAUGCGUAGAGAUCUGGAGGAAUACCGGUGGCGAAGGCGGCCCCCUGGACGAAGACUGACGCUCAGGUGCGAAAGCGUGGGGAGCAAACAGGAUUAGAUACCCUAGUAGUC